UACGUAGGGUGCAAGCGUUGUCCGGAAUUAUUGGGCGUAAAGAGCUCGUAGGCGGUCUGUCGCGUCUGCUGUGAAAACUCAGGCUUAACCCUGAGCUUGCAGUGGGUACGGGCAGACUAGAGUGCGGUAGGGGAGACUGGAAUUCCGUGGUGUAGCGGUGAAAUGCGCAGAUAGUCAGGAGGAACACCGGUGGCGAAGGCGGGUCUCUGGGCCGUUACCUGACGCUGGAGGAGCAAAGCGUGGGAGCGAACAGG
rnacentral:rRNA from 1 species